CUGAAAUUGUACCACAAGGUUCCAUAUCACACAGGAAAUGCUGGGAUUGAUAUUGGGGGUUAUUGCCUCAAAAUUUUAGGAAUUAGGGGCAAAAAAGGGGCAAAAAACAAGCAUUUUUCUAGUUUCAUGACAAUAACUUGUGUGUAAGGGUAUGGAUCUCUCUGACAUUGUAUCACAAGUUUCCAUACCACAAAGGGAAUGGUGGGAUUGAUUUUGAGGGUAAUUGCCUCCAAAUUUUAGGAAUUAGGGGCCAAAAAGGGGCAAAAAACAAGCAUUUUUCUAGUUUCAUGACAAUAACUUGUGUGUAAGUGUAUGGAUCUUUAUGAAAUUGUACUAAAAGGUUCCAUAUCACAAAGGGAAAGCUGGGUUUGAGUUUGGGGGUAAUUGCCCUAAAUGUUUAGGAAUUUGGGGCCUAAAAGGGGCCAAAAAACAAGCAUUUUUAUACGCCCAUCAAAUUUUUUACGGGACGUAUAAUGUUAUACAAAUGUCCGGCGUCCGUCCGUCUGUCUGUCCGGCGUAAACAUGUCGCACCGUAACUUGAGAAUGACUUAUCCAAAUUUCAUGAAACUUAACAUAGUUGUUUCUUAUGAUGGUCAAACGAUCUGUAUACUUUUUGGUGAGAAUAAGAUUAAAACUUUUUGAGUUACGGGACUUAGUAACUAAAACAGGUGUGUGUUUUUUUUUACAUGUCGCGCCGUAUCUCAAAAACAAUUUAAGAUUAUUGCUUAAAACUUUACACACUUCUUAGUUAUAUUAAUCUUAAGAUCUGUAUACUUUUUGGUGAUGAUUCAAAAUUUUAUUUUAGAGAUAUUGAGUAUUUUGUUAAAAAAGGGGGAGGGGUUUUUCACAUGUCGCGCCAUAUCUCAAAAACAGUUUAUGAUUAUUGCUUAAAACUUUACACACUUUUUAGUUAUAUUAACCUUAAGAUCUGUAUACUUUUUGGUGAUGAUUCAAAAUUUUAUUUUUGUGUUAUUGAGUAUUUUGUAAAAAAAGGGGGAGGGGUUUUUCACAUGUCGCGCUGUAUCUCUAAAACGAUUUAUGAUUAUUACUUAAAAUUUUACACACUUCUUAGUUAAAUUAAUCUCAAGAUCUGUAUACUUUUUGGUUUUUAUUCAAAAUUUUAUUUUAGAGAUAUUGAGUUUUUUGUAAAAAAAAAAGGGGGUUUUCGCAUGUCACGCUGUAAGUCAGAAACUAUUUAUGCUUAUUGCAUAAAAAUUCACACACAAGACGACGGGCGUAUCAUGCGCUCAUGGCGCAGCUGUUUAUUCUAGUUUCCAGACAAUAACUUGUGUUCAAGUGUAUGGAUCUCUCUGAAAUUGUACUGCAAGGUACCAUACCACAAAGGGAAAGCUGGGAUUGAGUUUGGGGGUGAUGAAUCAUAAGGGGGUUCAAAAAAUUGGGGGAGGGGGGGGAUUUUUUUUUCUUUAAAAUUUUCCAUUUUAAAUUGUUUUUUUCUGAUUUAUAUAUAAAAGCAAAUAAUAAUGAUAUGGUAAGAAUAGGUAAAUUAAAAUUUUUUAAGUUCUUAGACCACUUUCAUUCUGUGUGAGAAACCUAUGCUGUGUCAAAUAUUUAAUUACAAUCCAAAUUCAGUGCUGUAUCAAGCUUGAAUGUUGUGUCCAUACUUGCCCCAACUGUUCAGGGUUCGACCUCUGCGGUUGUAUCAAGCUGCGCCCCAGCGGAGCAUUUUAUUGGCUUAUAUCUCAAAAACUAAAUCUUUUAGAGCAAAUGUGACAUGGGGUAAAAUUGUUUAAUUGGUCAAGAUCUAUCGGCCCUGAAAUUAUCAGACGAAUGGAACAACCCAUUGUUGGGUUGCUGCCACCGAAUUGGUAGUUUUAACAAAAUUUUGCAGUUUUUAUAUGACCGCAAAAAAAUUUUGCGGUCGUAUAUUGGUAUGACGUUGGCGUCGAUGUCGUCGUCCGAAGACACAUUGGUUUUCGCACUCUAACUUUAGUUUAAGUGAAUGGAUCUCUUUGAAAUUUUACCAUAAGGUUCAAUACCACAAAAGGAAGGUGGGGAUUGAUUUUGGGGGUUAUGGUACCAACAGUUAAGGAAUUAGGUGCCAAAAAGGGGCCAAAAAUAAGCAUUUUCUAGUUUCCAGACAAUAACUGUGGAACGAAGUAUGGAUCUCUCUGAAAUUAUACUACAAGUUUCCAUACCACAAAGGGAUGGUUAGGAUUUGCUUUGGGGGGUUAAGGCUCAAACCGUUUAGGAAUUAGGGGCAAAAAAGGGGGAAAAACAAGGGUGUCCUGGUUAAUGGACAAAUACUUUAGUACAAAACAUAAUUUAAAGCAGUGU